rnacentral:SRP_RNA from 1 species
GCCGGGCGUGAUAGCUCACGCCUGUAAUCCUAGCACUUUGGGAGGCCAAGGCGGGUGGAUCACUUGAGGUCAGGAGUUCGAGACCAGCCUGGCCAACAUGGUGAAACCCUGUCUUUA